rnacentral:antisense_RNA from 1 species
CCGAAAUAAUAAAAGAAAAGAUAUAUAUGAUAACGCCAAAUAUCGUAUAUAGAAUGGAAACGUAUAAAGAUGAAUUUAAAUUUGAUAUUGGAAAUUGUUCUAUUAGAUAGCCAAUUACACUUUGUAAUCCAAAAU